UGCCUGUUCGAGCGUCAUAUAAACACAUCCCUCACGGGGUCUUGGGAUCCGCCUCUAGGCGGUCCUUAAAAUCAGUGGCGGUGCGUCUGGCUCUAAGCGUAGUAAUUAUCCUCGCUAUAGAUUUCAGGUGGUUGCUUGCCAAUAACCCCUCAUUUUCAACGUUUGACCUCGGAUCAGGUAGGGAUACCCGCUGAACUUAA
rnacentral:misc_RNA from 1 species